AUGGGAUACAGGUAUUGAAGGUGUUGGCCUAAUCUGCUUCUCCACAUUGCAGGCCACUUUACUCAUUCCUGCUCACAGGAAAUAUGAUCUCUUUUCUUCCAGGUGAUUGGAAAUGUACUGAAGUUGAGAUUCAUGGGUCACAUCGGAGAAGGCUGCUGACAUUGCCUCAAACAAUACAUCCUUGGCCCUUGAGCUAGAACUCCAGCUAUUUUUCUCACAGCACAAGAGAGGCUAAAUUCCCCCCAAGGAGUGUACAGUGGCAGCUCCCUCUGACUGUCCACAGUUUGAAAUGAUGUCUUCUGAAGUCAAGGAUAUAGACUUCCCUGAGAUGAUUUUCAUGAAUCACUCCAGAAAGGAUUUUCCAGUAUUUACCUGCAGAGCCAGCUGAACAGCAGUGGAAGCCAACAGAGAAUGAAGAAACACCACAGAGGAGCUAUCUCUAACUGAGGAGACGUUUAAAGAUUUCUUGUCCUCCACCUGGAAACACCAGCAUCCUGCAUGGGUACCCAUUCGUGUCUCAGCUGCUCUAUUCCACAUCCAGUUCUCUGCUUGUGA